AUUGAACGCUGGCGGCAUGCCUAACACAUGCAAGUCGAGCGAGCGGCGGACGGGUGAGUACUGUAUGGGGACUGCCCGUUAGCGGGGGAUAACUACUGGAAACGGUGGCUAAUACCGCAUUCUGUCGGAUAACCCAUAUGGGAUUAGCUAGUAGGUAAGGUAAUGGCGUACCUAGGCGACGAUCCCUAGCUGGUCGUAGAGGAUGAUCAGCCACACUGGGACGGAGACACGGCCCAGACUCCUACGGAGGCAGCAGUGGGGAAUAUUGCACAAUGGGCGCAAGCCUGAUGCAGCCAUGCCGCGUGUAUGAAGAAGGCCCUAGGGUUGUAAAGUACUUUCAGUCGGGAGGCGUUACCGACAGAAGAAGCACCGGCUAACUCCGUGCCAGCAGCCGCGGUAAUUC
rnacentral:rRNA from 1 species